rnacentral:lncRNA from 1 species
CGCAUGGAUAUCGGUGAGCACUUCACCUGGGAUGUUAUCCAGAGUAUCGUAUUUAUAUUUUUACCACUGAGAGAAAGCGUGCAUCUGACUAACCUGGUCUAUUACUACUAACCUUUAGGCUACAAAGAAUGUGACUCGAUGUAAGUGAUGUAUAGAGAAGACUACAACUGCACUCUCGUUCUAACCUUGUAAGGAUGAUCUACUAUUCUGUUGGGGAAGCUCACGGAAUCUAGACACUACAAAGGAUGUUCGACCCACACCUAUAAACCCUAUCGAUCCUACUAACAGGAUAUGUGCUACAAAGGUAACUCGGAAAUUUCACGUUCCUCGCUACUACCACGGUCCAGCUAGUCAGGGGAUAUCUAUGAGUAUCCUAGCCCAAACACCACGUUUACGCUAGAGAUGAUUACUCUAAACUCUACACGAAG